AUUGAACGCUGGCGGCAGGCUUAACACAUGCAAGUCGAACGAGUGGCGGACGGGUGAGUAAUGCUUGGGAAUCUGGCUUAUGGAGGGGGAUAACGACGGGAAACUGUCGCUAAUACCGCGUACCAUAGGAUGAGCCCAAGUGGGAUUAGGUAGUUGGUGGGGUAAUGGCCUACCAAGCUGACGAUCUCUAGCUGGUCUGAGAGGAUGACCGGCCACACCGGGACUGAGAGACGGCCCGGACUCCUACGGGAGGCAGAAGGGGGGAAUAUGGCGCAAGGGGGGCAACCCUGACGCGGCCAUGCCGCGUGAAUGAAGAAGGCCUUCGGGUUGUAAAGUUCUGUCGGUAUCGAAAGGGUAGGUGGAGAAGAAGCGCCGGCUAACUACGUGCCAGCAGCCGCGGUAAUUC
rnacentral:rRNA from 1 species